rnacentral:lncRNA from 1 species
CAGGUUGUUUUAGUAAAGGAGCUGUUGUACAGAACUUGGUGUGACGAAUGUUUUAUUCCUACCAAUUCUUUAUCUGCUUGUCUUGUAAAUGCAGUUCAUGCAUUUACUAUAGCUUUAAGAGUAUCAUCAUCACGUGUGGCAGAUGUGUGGAGAGAAACUGUGCAGACCAGUGUCACUGUGUGUAUAAAGGGUUAAGAUCCCCUAGAUCUUGCCUGGAAUGUAUGCGCUACCUUAACAGACAUCUGAUGAAAUAUACAUCAUAUGAACUGAUAGAUAGAGCGUUGUUAUAUUUGUGAGUGUUGAAGAAUGACAAUAAAGGACAGAAUACAACAGACACAUGAUUAAUAAGAUUUGUUAACAUAUCUAUAAAUGCAAAAAUCUCCUUGAAAAUGCUACCAAAAUGUCAAGUGUAUGUCCACAAUGAAAUAAAAACAGGAACUGGCUUACAUAAAACAUGAAAAUGCCACUUUAGCAGGGAAAAAAGGAUUUUUUCUUUCCGCCAUUAUUGCCCGAAAGUGCUGCAUGAUUACCUAUUUAUUACUAUUGUACCUCUAUCCGGAAAACGUAGAAUAAAGCCUGGGCUCGAUUCAGGUGAUAGUUGUUGAUAUGAUUAUUAAUGACAUGCCCCAACAUUUUUUUUCAAUUAGUGUAAACAAUUUAUGUUGUAAAUGAAUGUGAAUAUAUGAAGGUACCCACUUAUUUUGUUUACAACAAUGAAUAAAACAUCUUAUAGUUUGUUUAAGGUAGUGGACCUGUAACGAAAAUCGUCCAAUUGCGUAUUGUCCUUAUGCUUUUUUCGGCAGUUUUCGAUUCUUUUAUGGAAAGCAAUGAUAGUUUUAAGCAAUAGUUACGUCCAGAGAAUGUCGAAUUGCUUGCAAAUACAUAAUAACGCUGAAAUUGCAGAGUCAUUACCGAUCUAAUACUUUAAGAUUUUGUAAUAACAUUUGACGACAGUGACUUUUUGUGUUACACUUUUUGCAGAAAAAUACUACUGAAUAGUCGGAGAAAUGCUUCAAAAUGAGUAAAGCACAAGGAACACUUUCAAAAUGAUCAGCUGAAAUGAUGAAUAUAACAACAGUUUAGUUAUGUUGUUACAUUUAUGCGAUACCAAUUUAACUUCUUGUAAUUUCUAAUUGUUGGAAAUACAUUUUACAUUUUAGUAUAUCAAAAAUAACAGGUAAAUGUAUUACAUACUAAAUUCACACCAAUCUUUAGGCUACUUUUGAGAUUUAAAAAAUGCGACUUUUAUAGUGCUAAUUUUUUAUAAUGAUGUCAUUAACUGAGAAAGAGAUAAUUGUUUAUCAGCCAUUAUUUGAAAUCUAUGACAUUUAACUUUCUUUCCUGUUAUUACUAAUUAAUCAGUAUAAAUAUAAUAAAAUUUCAAUUAUUAUCUACUUACAUAUUUUAUUAGUUAACAGUUAUUACUUUUCUCAAGUUUAUUAUCUUAGAACGUUAUUUCAAUAACAAACUUUAUGUGUCUUUUCAGCUAAUUUCGCAUUUAUUUGAAGGUAAUAAAAUUUUAUAUCAUAAAAGGUACCAUUCAGUAGCUUUGACACAAUACUUUACUAAUUUGUUUUCAGUUAUUCGGUUAUAGCGCGACGAUAUUGAAAUUAUCACGGACCAUUUUGUUGCACAAGAUAUUAAUCUGUGUAGCACAGCUGUGCUAAGUUAUUAAAAUAACCCAUUAAUAUUUUUAAAUAUAUUGCACACCACGCCCAUUAUCUAAGAGCGGAUACAUUAGAAAAAGAUAAAAUUUGAAAACGAUUUAUUUCUACAAUGGUCAUACAAAAAAAAAAAAAAAAAAAAAAAAUAUUUGUAUGUGUAUUAUCCUGAUGAAGGCGUUAGCCGAAACGUUGAUGAGAUAAAAAAAACUAUACAUAAUACGUGUUGUUGUUGAAAUACCUAUCGCAUUACAAUGGUCAUACAACACAAAAGUAUUUAUUGUUG